rnacentral:rRNA from 1 species
GACGAACGCUGGCGGCGUGCCUAAUACAUGCAAGUCGAGCGGACAGAUGGGAGCUUGCUCCCUGAUGUUAGCGGCGGACGGGUGAGUAACACGUGGGUAACCUGCCUGUAAGACUGGGAUAACUCCGGGAAACCGGGGCUAAUACCGGAUGGUUGUUUGAACCGCAUGGUUCAAACAUAAAAGGUGGCUUCGGCUACCACUUACAGAUGGACCCGCGGCGCAUUAGCUAGUUGGUGAGGUAAUGGCUCACCAAGGCAACGAUGCGUAGCCGACCUGAGAGGGUGAUCGGCCACACUGGGACUGAGACACGGCCCAGACUCCUACGGGAGGCAGCAGUAGGGAAUCUUCCGCAAUGGACGAAAGUCUGACGGAGCAACGCCGCGUGAGUGAUGAAGGUUUUCGGAUCGUAAAGCUCUGUUGUUAGGGAAGAACAAGUACCGUUCGAAUAGG